rnacentral:misc_RNA from 1 species
GGUCCCCUCGCCCCCGUGGGCAGUGUGAGGGCCGGCUGAGCUGCGCUCGAGUCACGUGUUGGCACACUGCCUAGUCAUAUGGGUGGCGCACAAGCGUGCUCGCCGUCGCAGGCCGCUCCGACGCAGCGCCCGUCCAGGACCGGGCCGCCGGCAUCCGUGGCGGUGCAUCGCUCUGGCCUCCCCUACCUUGUAGGUGCUUGACCCUGUCACCACGCGAAGGGGCUUGGCAUUGGCAGGGUUAGGUUGGGAGCUGCUUGGCUUCCGCCCUCAGAGUGGGUGGGGGUGGGGGGCGGGGGCACCGUGCCCUGAGAUGCCAUGCGCUGUAUGAGGUGCGUGCCUGUGUGCCCCCCCCGUCGUCAGGGCUUCUCUCCGUUGCCAAAGAAGAAAAUCUGUGCCGAACGGAGCAGACACACACACACACACACACACAUUAGCAGCCCUAACGCCUCCGUUUACUUCCACCCUCCCCCUCCGUCUUUCCGCACGUCAUUCCUCUUCAUCUGUGCAAUCUGCAAG